rnacentral:rRNA from 1 species
CACGUAGGGCGCAAGCGUUGUCCGGAAUUAUUGGGCGUAAAGAGCUCGUAGGCGGUCUGUUGCGUCUGCUGUGAAAACUCGGGGCUUAACCCCGAGCCUGCAGUGGAUACGGGCAGACUAGAGGUAGGUAGGGGAGAAUGGAAUUCCCGGUGUAGCGGUGAAAUGCGCAGAUAUCGGGAGGAACACCGGUGGCGAAGGCAGCCUCCUGGGCCAACACUGACGCUCAUGCACGAAAGCGUGGGGAGCAAACAGG